rnacentral:rRNA from 1 species
GGCGCAAGCCUGAUGCAGCGACGCCGCGUGAGGGAUGACGGCCUUCGGGUUGUAAACCUCUGUUAGCAUCGAAGAAGCGAAAGUGACGGUAGGUGCAGAGAAAGCGCCGGCUAACUACGUGCCAGCAGCCGCGGUAAUACGUAGGGCGCGAGCGUUGUCCGGAAUUAUUGGGCGUAAAGAGCUUGUAGGCGGUUGGUCGCGUCUGCUGUGAAAGGCUGGGGCUUAACCCUGGUUUUGCAGUGGGUACGGGCUAACUAGAGUGCAGUAGGGGAGACUGGAAUUCCUGGUGUAGCGGUGGAAUGCGCAGAUAUCAGGAGGAACACCGAUGGCGAAGGCAGGUCUCUGGGCUGUAACUGACGCUGAGAAGCGAAAGCAUGGGGAGCGAACAGGAUUAGAUACCCUGGUAGUCCGUGCCGUAAACGUUGGGCACUAGGUGUGGGGGACAUUCCACGUUUUCCGCGCCGUAGCUAACGCAUUAAGUGCCCCGCCUGGGGAGUACGGCCGCAAGGCUAAAACUCAAAGAAAUUGACGGGGGCCCGCACAAGCGGCGGAGCAUGCGGAUUAAUUCGAUGCA